CUCAAAAAAGUGAAAAAAGGAAAUUUAAUUUUUUAAACUUGUAGCUUUGUGUGGACAAAUCCUAGUUUUUUCGUUUUUACGCAUAGACAAUUAAGUUUUUCGCAAAGUAAAUGUGUAAAAACCCACAAAUUUUUGUGUAGAAAAACGGAAUCUCAUUUAGUUGUGCUUGUGCUUUGACCAAUUUAGCCCAUUUUCAGCGCCAACCUUUGUGUAAAAACUUCGAAUAUUUAUACCAAGUUUGAUGUCGAGGCACAGAGGGGCAGACUUGGCCUAAUCAAUUAAGAAUUUCAUGCUAAUCAAGAAUAGAUAUAUAUUUUAUUGGAUUUCUGGAGCUUCUUUUUGGGUGUUGCCAACAUUAUGAGUAAAUGAGUGCACCGUUUAUCUUGGAGUUUUGGGUAUAACAAACAUGGUGUACUAAACAAAUAACGUUAGUCAAAAUGAAUAGAACGAAUGAGGACAUAUGUGACAGUGCCGUUAAACAUUGGUGAAUGCGUGGCAAAGCACUUCAUUUAACUCUGCAACAGAGUACUCGUUUAAGAGUAUGGCGCUAUGUGAGUGGCACUACACUUUUCUGAGCCAAGCUUCUAAGAAGCAACUUGUGUCGUAACUUAGAUUUUGAACGAUUCCAAUUCGGAUAGAUAGUCAGUCAACUGACUCACCAUAAAAUUCCUGUGCGAAAUAGAGGUGCAAAUGCUAAAAAUGCAGUAAUCAAUCGUGCAUCGAAGAACGAACCAAGAAUAGCCAAAAGUGCGGAAAGUAACCAGAGGACAUCGAGAAUACAUCGCCUAAUGGACCCCAAGUAUAAACUAAGGAAUACAGCG